CACUCAGUUUCUCCCUCUCCCUCCAUGCCAUCCUCCUUGCCUGACUGGAUAUGACUUGAUUACAACUGGGAGAGAUGGGUGCAGCCUGGUUUUCCAACCACCCCCUUCCACUUCCCUCUAUAUAGAAACAGCUAUAGCUCCAUCCUAGCUCCUAUUGAGGUCCCCUUGGGUUUUGGACAAGCAAGAUGCGAUUGCAGACCCCUAUCCCUCCUAUCAGAAACUUCUGGAGUUACUGAAAGCUAACCUGGAAUACCUGGUCCCUGGCUCUCUGGUCCAAUUCCUCCUUCAAAACCCACCUUGCCAGACUUACCUUGGCAGAGGUAGUUACCUGCUUUCUGCUCUGACUGAAUGUAUGGUUCACACCUCUGGGGCAAUCUAAGCCCAGGUGAGGCUAGGAAGUCUGUGUCCUCCCCCUUACUGAGCUCCUUGAGAGUGGGGACCAGUUUUUACUCAGGUCUGAAUUGUCAGAGAUUCAGUGUGUGAUACCCAGGAGACAUCAGUAAGUGUGUGUAGAAUUGACUCCUGUGAAUGGCUAAUCCCCCCAUUCAUGUGCUCAUCAAUCCAUCAAGUCGUGUUAGGUACCCGUUGUGAUACACGCCUACUCCACCUUAUCACUGGGUACGACGCAGCACACUACAUCGUACUUCACCACAAAUGCCAUAGAAAUGCAGGGUCUGGUACUGAAGCUCCAUACCACCCUGCUGUGAUUGUCUGAGGCAACCCUGUAUCUAACCCACUGGAGGUGGGGAAGGAACCAGGAGGAAGAAGAGAGACUUGGGACCAAGCAAACAGACCGGAUCUCUGAAUACCACCAGGCCUCUGCAGAGCUCCACACCUGGUUGUCCCUGUGUGCAAGUCCCCGGCCAUUUAGAUGUGCUUUCUAAGAAGGCUGCUCUGUGGGCCCAGAAGGUCUAACCCUUGGAUGGGUACCAGGGUUCUGCCACAAACAUCUGCCCGGGCCAACAGCCCCCAGGGAGCAGAUACACAACGAGAGCUGCAUUUGGAUGAAGGAGGAGGUGGAGAAGGCAACGUGAGGGAAUCAGGAUUGCAGUGGAAACUGCUCAGGAAUUUGACUUCAUGUCUAAGUUGAUUCUUCCUAGACAAUCACCUUAAUGUGGGUAUCUCUUAGUUACCCAUGCUGCG